AUCAGUUAUAUUACAAUAGAAGAACUUGAGCAAGCUCUUCGAGAGUUUGGCAUGAAUGAUGGGAAGGACAUAAAGGAAAUCAUUUCAGAAGUUGACGCUGAUAAUGAUGGCCGAAUUAACUAUGAUGAGUUUGCAGCCAUGAUGAACAAAGGUAAUCCAGAUGCGUUAACAAACCCCAAAAAACGACGAGACGUUUCACUCCCUAAAUUUGAUUAAGUUCAACAUGUAGAUCUAUAAAUUCAUCAUAUACCUCAAUUUCCUCAUCAGAACACUAAUGUACAUGUAAGAUGCUAAAAUCAUGAACGCUAAUGUACAUGUCGUAAGGUGCUAAAAUCUGUAAGAAAUAUAGUGAGGCCUUUUUCAAGAGAUUAAUAGUAUUUGAGGUUUAUGUGAUACUAGGGGUGCUAGCUUGAUUGGAUGUACAAAUACUUGUACCAAUGAGAUAGAAACAACUACUUUAUCUCUAUUGAUGUAGCAUCCAAAAUAUUACACAUGAACAGACAUUGAUUCUUCUGGUA